ACUAUAGACCAGCACCCUACCUUAUGGGAUGUCCUUAACAACACUUGUACUCUAUUGACCAUUAGCAACUACUUAAAGAGUUCUUUUCUCAACACUCCCACUUUGCUAUUGGUCAAUUAGCUAUCAAUCCUAAUGCCUUACUCAACUUGUUGUGUCCUUCUCUAACUAAGGCUUUUGUCAACAAAUCAGCCAACAUGUCUUUGGUUUCACAAUACAUCAUAUCAAUAACCUCCAUCUCUAUCUUCUCUCUUAUGAAAUGAU
rnacentral:lncRNA from 1 species